CCUUUUGAUACCAACUUGGCUGAAACCGCUUCUGGCUCUGUGGUACAAAUGUCUCGUUUUCAAAAGUUCUGAAUUAAAAUCUUCCACCAAACCUCAGCCAUAAUUGAUGUUCUUAACACUAGCUGAAUGAUAACUAAGUUAUUUUAGCAAAUCCUUUGUUGUGCUGGUGGCACGUAAAAGCACCCAAUACACUCUUGGAGUGGUUGGCAUUAGGAAGAGCAUCCAGCUGUAGAAACUCUGCCAGAUCAGAUUGGAGCCUGGUGCAGCCAUCUGUAUGGCACCUUGAUCAAGUAUCUUCUACUAUAGCCUCAGGACCACCAAAGCCUUGUGAGUGGAUUUGGUUGACAAAAACUGGAAGAAGUCUGUCUGUGUUUGUCCCCUGCCAGUGUUGGUGUGUACAUGUCUCUGUAAGCUAGUGGUUCAGCAAAAGAGACUGAUAAAAUAAGUACUGAGGUCGAUUCAUUUGACUAAAUGUUUUUCAAAGUGGUGCCCCAGCAUGGCAGCAGCCCUAAUGACCGAAAUGAGUAAAAGAUUGUGUGUAAAUUUCAUAUUCUUGCAGCUGACUACGAGCGUAACCAGGAGGAGGAGAGGGAUCAAAGGUCACAAGUAACACAUGGUACAAAGCGGAAACGUGAGAGCAGCAGCGGAGGAGGAGGAGGAGGAGGAGGCGGCGGCGGCAGCAGCAGUAGCCGCAACAAGCACUCAAAGAAGUCGAAGAAAUCCAGAAAAUAAGAGAGCGGUGGUGCGUGUGUUUUUUGGAUGCUGGUUUUCGGUCGUCCUGGUGGCAUGGUUAGGGGGUUUUGUUGGUGGGUGUGUGAGUGAGUUCCACCACUCGACCUGUGUGAGUGAGUGCCACCACUCGCCCUGUGCGAGUGGGGCUUACUCAAAUGUCGUAAUUACAAUGGGUGUUGCUCACUACUUCAACUCACACCAUCUCCAUCACUACCACCACUGCCACCACCACUACCACUACCACACUUGUAACCACCACCACUCCUACUACAACAACCACCACCACUACUACCACAGGUACAAUAACUAUCACUAAAGUUAUUACCAUCACUACUAUUAUUAUUGAUACUACUACUACAACUACUAAUACAGGUCCUACUGUGCAGGACGUCUAUCCAUCCCUUCUACCUGGCCAUCCCUCCUGAUGUAUCAAAACCCACUUCUAAGAUCCCAUUCGACACAUUUUCCACAUAACUAUGUUUGUCAUGGCAUCACACACACACACACACACAUAUCUAAAUGGCCCCUGCCUUCUUCUACCUGCCUCUCACAUGCAUAUACAUAUAUAUAUACAUACAUGCAUACAUAUGUGUAUAUAUAUAUAUACACAUAUGCACACACGCACACAGACAUGUAACAGUUUGCUGUAAAAGAACUGGUCCUUAUUUUGUGGCCCCCCCCCCUUUUGGAUUGUUGAGGAAAAGUUGCAACAAUGCAAAAGCAAGAACGAGAGAGAGUGAGAAAGAGAGCGAGAGAGAGUGUAAUAGAAUUAUUGGAGCUAACAAACAAACAAAAUAUGUGACUAAAAAAAAAAGAAAAAAAAGACUAAAAUGAUGAGAUAUACAAAACAAAGAUUAUAAAUAAAUAAAAUGAUUUAAAUUGC